UGACUGACGACGUUCUGCGCGAGUCCGAAGUGCUGCCCCAAGACAAAGCCAACGCCAUUGGAAGAGGAGCGCGCAGACGGAAGUGACCUGCAUUUCAAUGAUUCACCGAUUCUCAUCAAAGCUUGCCCUUUGAAGCCACCAGUCAUGAGAUCUCAGUGGUCCUGGCUCUAAUGCCGACUCAUCAAACCAAGUUCCAAGAACGCUCCCGCAAAUGUAAG